AUUGAACGCUGGCGGCAGGCCUAACACAUGCAAGUCGAACGAGUGGCGGACGGGUGAGUAAUGGCUGGGAAACUGCCCGAUGGAGGGGGAUAACUACUGGAAACGGUAGCUCAUACCGCCUACCAUGCGAUGUGCCCAGUUCGGAUUAGCGAGUAGGGUGGGUAACGUCUCACCUCGGCGACGGUCCCUAGCUGGUCUGAGAGGAUGACCAGCCACACUGUAACUGAGACACGGGCCAGACGCCUACGGGAGGCAGCAGUGGGGAAUAUUCAAUAACGGGCGCAAGCCUGAUGCAGCCACGCCGCGUGCAUGAAGAAGGCCUUCGGGUUGUAAAGCACUUUCAUCGACGAGGCGUCACUCGCAGAAGAAGCAUCGGCUAACUCCGUGCCAGCAGCCGCGGUAAUUC
rnacentral:rRNA from 1 species